rnacentral:rRNA from 1 species
CUGAUCAGCCAUGCCGCGUGCAGGAUGACGGCCCUAUGGGUUGUAAACUGCUUUUAUACGGGAAGAAACGCGCCCACGUGUGGGCGUUUGACGGUACCGUAAGAAUAAGGACCGGCUAACUCCGUGCCAGCAGCCGCGGUAAUACGGAGGGUCCGAGCGUUAUCCGGAAUCAUUGGGUUUAAAGGGUCCGUAGGCGGGCCUGUAAGUCAGGGGUGAAAGUUUGUGGCUCAACCAUAAAAUUGCCUUUGAUACUGCAGGUCUUGAGUCAUGGUGGGGUUGCCGGAACAUGUGGUGUAGCGGUGAAAUGCAUAGAUAUCACAUAGAACACCGAUCGCGAAGGCAGGUGACCAACCAUGUACUGACGCUGAUGGACGAAAGCGUGGGUAGCGAACGGGAUUAGAUACCCCCGGUAGUCA